AUUGAACGCUGGCGGCGUGCCUAACACAUGCAAGUCGAGCGGUAACAGGUGUAGCAAUACAUGCUGACGAGCGGCGAACGGGUGAGUAAUGCUUCGGAAUCUACCCAAUGGUGGGGAAUAACCAGCCGAAAGGUUGGCUAAUACCGCAUACGUCCCACGGGAGAAAGCAGGGGAUCGCAAGACCUUGCGUCAAUGGAUGAGCCGAAGUCGGAUUAGCUAGNGGUAGGGUAACGGCCUACCAAGGCGACGAUCCGUAGCUGGUCUGAGAGGACGACCAGCCACACUGGGACUGAGACACGGCCCAGACUCCUACGGGAGGCAGCAGUGGGGAAUAUUGGACAAUGGGGGAAACCCUGAUCCAGCGACGCCGCGUGUGUGAAGAAGGCCU
rnacentral:rRNA from 1 species